rnacentral:misc_RNA from 1 species
CCCAACUAUCCCUAUUAAUCAUUACGGUGAUUCAGAAACCAACAAAACAGGACCACCGUCCUAUUUUAUUAUUCCAUGCUAAUGUAUUCAGACGUAAGCCUGCUUUGAACACUCUAAUUUUUUCAAGGUAAAGGUCCUGGUUUCCCACCACGCUAAAUUAAUAACAUGAUGGUUCCCCAGAAGGUAGGGGUUCUACACGCUAGUACAGACUGGUUAGCCUGACCAACGGAAGAACCCCGAAAUUCAACUACGAGCUUUUUAACUGCAACAACUUUAAUAUACGCUAUUGGAGCUGGAAUUACCGCGGCUGCUGGCACCAGACUUGCCCUCCAA